AUUGAACGCUGGCGGCAGGCCUAACACAUGCAAGUCGAGCGAGCGGCGGACGGGUGAGUAAUGUAUGGGGACUGCCCGAUAGAGGGGGAUAACUACUGGAAACGGUAGCUAAUAACGCAUACUAUCGGAUAACCCAUAUGGGAUUAGCUAUUAUGGGAGGUAAUGGCUCACCUAGGCGACGAUCCCUAGCUGGUCUGAGAGGAUGAUCAGCCACGCUGGAACGGAGACACGGCCCAGACUCCUACGGAGGCAGCAGUGGGGAAUAUUGCACAAUGGGCGCAAGCCUGAUGCAGCCAUGCCGCGUGUAUGAAGAAGGCCCUCGGGGUGUAAAGUACUUUCAGUCGGGAGGCGUUACCGACAGAAGAAGCACCGGCUAACUCCGUGCCAGCAGCCGCGGUAAUUC
rnacentral:rRNA from 1 species